rnacentral:rRNA from 1 species
GAUGAACGCUGGCGGCGUGCCUAAUACAUGCAAGUCGAGCGAACAGACGAGGAGCUUACUCCUCUGACGUUAGCGGCGGACGGGUGAGUAACACGUGGAUAACCUACCUAUAAGACUGGGAUAACUUCGGGAAACCGGAGCUAAUACCGGAUAACAUGUUGAACCGCAUGGUUCAACAGUGAAAGACGGUCUUGCUGUCACUUAUAGAUGGAUCCGCGUCGCAUUAGCUAGUUGGUAAGGUAACGGCUUACCAAGGCAACGAUGCGUAGCCGACCUGAGAGGGUGAUCGGCCACACUGGAAGUGAGACACGGUCCAGACUCCUACGGGAGGCAGCAGUAGGGAAUCUGCCGCAAUGGGCGAAAGCCUGACGGAGCAACGCCGCGUGAGUGAAGAAGGUCUUCGGAUCGUAAAACUCUGUUAUUGGGGAAGAACAAAUGUGUAAGUAACUAUGCACGUCUUGACGGUACCUAAUCAGAAAGCCGCGGCUAACUACG